rnacentral:rRNA from 1 species
AUAAGAUUUUAAUUGAAUGCUAAGAGAAUGGAAGUCCAGAAAAAAACUUUUUUUAAAUUAAAAAUUGAAGUUUUUUUAAUUUGUGCAGAAACAAUUAUUUAUAUUAAAGACAAGAAGACCCUAUGAAUUUAUUAAAUUUUUAUUUAAUAUGUAAUUACUAUUAGAAAAAUUUUGGCUGGGGCGGCUAGAAAAUAUUAUGAACUUUUUAAAAAUAAAAUGAUCCAUUAUUAAUGAUUUUAUGUUAAAUACUCUAGGGAUAACAGCGUUAUAUUUUUUGAUAGAUCAUAUUGACAAAAAAGUUUGCGACCUCGAUGUUGGAUUAGGAUACUUUUUUAAUGAAGAUAUUAAAAAAAGAAGUU